rnacentral:rRNA from 1 species
UACGGAGGUGGCAAGCGUUGCUCGGAAUCACUGGGCGUAAAGGGCGCGUAGGCGGGGAGGUAAGUCGGGUGUGAAAUCCCUCGGCCCAACCGAGGAACUGCGCCCGAGACUGCUUCUCUUGAGUCCCGGAGAGGAAGAUGGAAUUCCCGGUGUAGCGGUGAAAUGUGUAGAGAUCGGGAGGAAGACCAGUGGCGAAGGCGGGUCUCUGGACAGUUCCUGACACUGAGACACGAAGGCCAGGGGAGCAAACGGG